rnacentral:rRNA from 1 species
AUUGAACGCUGGCGGCAUGCUUUACACAUGCAAGUCGAACGGUAACAGGCCGCAAGGUGCUGACGAGUGGCGAACGGGUGCGUAAUGCAUCGGAACGUGCCCAGUCGUGGGGGAUAACUACUCGAAAGAGUAGCUAAUACCGCAUACGAUCUAUGGAUGAAAGCGGGGGACCGUAAGGCCUCGCGCGAUUUGAGCGGCCGAUGUCAGAUUAGGUAGUUGGUGGGGUAAAGGCUCACCAAGCCAACGAUCUGUAGCUGGUCUGAGAGGACGACCAGCCACACUGGGACUGAGACACGGCCCAGACUCCUACGGGAGGCAGCAGUGGGGAAUUUUGGACAAUGGGCGCAAGCCUGAUCCAGCAAUGCCGCGUGCAGGAAGAAGGCCUUCGGGUUGUAAACUGCUUUUGUACGGAACGAAACGGCUCUGGUUAAUACCCGGGGCUAAUGACGGUACCGUAAGAAUAAGCACCGGCUAACUACGUG